ACUUUUAAAGGACAAAUUAGCCGUCCACUGGUUUUAGGCGCCAGUACUCUUGGUGCAAGUCCAAGUAAAAG
rnacentral:tRNA from 1 species